CGUCCGGCGAGGCCUCAGAUGACGUCGCGCCUGCCGGGCCACGCCCACUUCCUCCCUUCUCAGACGCUCCUCUCUGAGCUACCGAAGAUGAACAUAAAAGGGCCCCCUGCAGAUGCCACACUGACACUUCCAGUCCUCCACUGGUGUCUGCAGCUUCCAGAUUUUUCAGGAUUUGUCCGUUCAACCAGUGACAGUGAGGAGGGACGUCUCUGCGGCCACUGAUUAGCUGAGCGGCUGUGGGAUCAGUAUGACAGAAAAUCCAGAAGAAGGGGAGACCAACAGAGGACCCGGUUUGUUAGCAUGGCAGCUGCAGGGAAACGGAGGAAGAGCAUACAGAGUGUCUGUAAACAAAUCUAGAACGGUGCUACCUGAAUAUUUCAUGGAGAAAAGGAAGAAAGGAGAAAAAUGCGGAGCGCUCUCUUGUAUAGUAUUUAGUAACCAAGAAGAUGGAUACAAACUCUAAAUACCCACUACCAACAUGCAAG